rnacentral:rRNA from 1 species
CGGGACGACGUCAAGUCAUCAUGGCCCUUUACGACCAGGGCUACACACGUGCUACAAUGGUCGGUACAAAGGGUUGCUACCUAGCGAUAGGAUGCUAAUCUCAAAAAGCCGAUCGUAGUCCGGAUUGGAGUCUGCAACUCGACUCCAUGAAGUCGGAAUCGCUAGUAAUCGCGGAUCAGCAUGUCGCGGUGAAUACGUUCCCGGGUCUU